CCGUCCGUCCGCAGCACGGCCGGAUGCAGCGCGGAGCCGGGUUGCCAUACCAACGCAGGUGCUAACGCGUGUUGACUAGCUGGGAGCUGAGCUGAUCAGAGAAUGGCAGCUCGGAGCUGCCAUGGCAACCGAGAUGCCAGAGUGGAAGCCGUGCGGCUAGCGGGGUACCCGAGCGGCGGCCGGGCACAGCGGGCCCUGCCCGCACGGGCUGCACCGCAGCUGCCGCCCCCAGCACCUCCACAACUCGGGGCACAGCUCCUGCUCCCCGCCUCCCCGCGCUCCCCGCCUGCUGUCCUGGGCAGGGUCGGCGCUGCCCCUCGCAGGAGGCACGGGGCUGCAGGCAGGAUGCGCCCCGGAGCCCCGCUGCAGCCACACAGCACAGCCUGCGAGCACAGACCAUUCUAACGUGAUUUUUCACAAUAUCGCCUAGUCCAGAGUCCGACAAUCCCAAUGAAAGGGCUUCUGUGUCUCCGCAAAAUGCAAAAUCUUUAACGGCUCAUUGGCAUGUGCUUAAGUUGGCCUGGAUAAGAAGUUACUCCUGAGAACCUGAUAUUGAUUCUGUCAAGGAUUCAAAGGUUUUAUAGGCAUCGCUCAAGACCUCUUUAGUACUUGUACCUUCUUAAUGGCUCUCAUCACCCAUGGAACUGGAAACAUCCCCCGGCACCCUGGGAAGAGGCUGUCUCUGUGCCGGGGGCCGGAGCCCUGCCGCUGUCCAGGACGUGGCUGCCCUCCAGACGGCCGGGCAAGGCUCCCUGGCACCCCGAGGGACAGCCUGCGCCUCCUCCGGGCUCCUUUGGCAGUGGAUCUCCUCUGGGACGUGGCUGCUGCCUUGUGCCCAAAUCCCUUGCCUGAACAGCUCUCACACAAAUUGCACAGGCUCAGGCUGCAGUACCUGGAACAGCCAGCUGGAUGUGGAAAAGCAACAACUCAUGGGGAGAGCUCUGUGCACACCGUGCAGCUGACACCCAACACUGAUCAGACUCAACUGCGUGGUUCAAAUCACUCCAGCUUCCCAAGGAUGGGAUGGGCCCUUCCCAAAGAAGGCCAGGGAAAUAAAAUAUUAAAAUAUAGUGCUUUGGAGCUGCAUA